rnacentral:rRNA from 1 species
CUACGGGAGGCAGCAGUGGGGAAUCUUGGACAAUGGGGGCAACCCUGAUCCAGCGACGCCGCGUGAGUGAUGAAGGCCCUAGGGUUGUAAAGCUCUUUCACCGGAGAAGAUAAUGACGGUAUCCGGAGAAGAAGCCCCGGCUAACUUCGUGCCAGCAGCCGCGGUAAUACGAAGGGGGCUAGCGUUGUUCGGAAUUACUGGGCGUAAAGCGCACGUAGGCGGAUAUUUAAGUCAGGGGUGAAAUCCCGGGGCUCAACCCCGGAACUGCCUUUGAUACUGGGUAUCUGGAGUAUGGAAGAGGUGAGUGGAAUUCCGAGUGUAGAGGUGAAAUUCGUAGAUAUUCGGAGGAACACCAGUGGCGAAGGCGGCUCACUGGUCCAUUACUGACGCUGAGGUGCGAAAGCGUGGGGAGCAAACAGGAUUAGAAACCCCUGUAGUCC